rnacentral:rRNA from 1 species
UACGAAGGGGGCUAGCGUUGCUCGGAAUCACUGGGCGUAAAGGGCGCGUAGGCGGCCAUUCAAGUCAGAGGUGAAAGCCCAAGGCUCAACCUUGGAACUGCCUUUGAUACUGUUUGGCUUGAGACCGGUAGAGGUAAGUGGAACUGCGAGUGUAGAGGUGAAAUUCGUAGAUAUUCGCAAGAACACCAGUGGCGAAGGCGGCUUACUGGACCGGUACUGACGCUGAGGCGCGAAAGCGUGGGGAGCAAACAGG